CUCGCCACAACUUAAAAAGGAUUUCAAACCAUUGUUGUAAGAGGAGUUUCGCCGAGGAUUUCACGCCAAAUACACCCAGUUUUCAUCUUAUUUUAGCACUUCUGCUGCUUAAACAACUAUCUGCAGUUGUGUUAAUGCAAAAGAGCACCUGUGAAAAGGCACUGAUCAAACAAGAAAACAAGACUGCAAAAACGCAAAACUAUUGGCAUUUGUGAAAAUCACAGGAAAAAUUUAUAGGUGACUGCACUUAACAGUUUAACAGUUUGUGGCCAUCACACCAGAGAGGGGCAAAAAGAUUAAACACAAAUAAACUUUCUGGCUCAUUUAUAAGCGCAGAAUUAGUUACUCUUUGUUUUGUUACUGAUGCUGUAAAAGCUUGGAGUACUUGCUAGUAUGCCUCCAAGAUGUGAUUUGUUAGGCUGUAAUAUUUAGAUGUCUAGAAUUUGUUGCCAGGAAAUUUACAACUCAAGAAUUUAAAAUAUUUCCAUUGUAUUAAUAACAAAAUAUUCAACAAAUAAAAAAUGUUCGUUUUCAGAAA